AUUGAACGCUGGCGGCAGGCCUAACACAUGCAAGUCGGGCGAGCGGCGGACGGGUGAGUAAUGUAUGGGGAUCUGCCUGAUGGAGGGGGAUAACUACUGGAAACGGUAGCUAAUACCGCAUACCAUCGGAUGUGCCCAGAUGGGAUUAGCGAGUAGGUGGGGUAACGGCUCACCUAGGCUACGAUCCCUAGCUGGUCUGAGAGGAUGACCAGCCCCACCGGAACUGAGAAACGGUCGAGACGCCUACGAGAGGCGGCAGUGGGGAAUACGGCACAAGGGGGGCAAGCAUGAUGAAGCAAUGCCGCGUGUAUGAAGAAGGCCUGCGGGUUGUAAAGUACUUUCAGCGAGGAGGCGUUACUCGCAGAAGAAGCACCGGCUAACUACGUGCCAGCAGCCGCGGUAAUAC
rnacentral:rRNA from 1 species